AACGAACGCUGGCGGCAUGCCUAACACAUGCAAGUCGAACGGGACCUUCGGGUUUAGUGGCGCACGGGUGCGUAACGCGUUGGAACCUGCCUUUAGGUUCGGAAUAACUCCCCGGAAGGGGUGCUAAUACCGGAUAAUGUCUUCCGACCAAAGAUUUAUCGCCUUUGGAUGGGCCCGCGUUGUAUUAGCUAGUUGGUAGGGUAAAAGCCUAUCAAGGCUACGAUCCAUAGCUGGUCUGAGAGGAUGAUCAGCCACACUGGUACUGAGACACGGCCCAGACUCCUACGGGAGGCAGCAGUGGGGAAUAUUGGAAAAUGGGCGAAAGCCUGAUGCAGCAAUGCCGCGUGAGUGAUGAAGGCCUUAGGGUUGUAAAGCUAUUUUACACGGGAUGAUAAUGACGGUACCGGGAGAAUAAGCUCCGGCUAACUCCGUG
rnacentral:rRNA from 1 species